ACCGCAGUGAAGAAGACUUGCUAAAAAGAAGCAGCUAAUUAAAUCUUUACAUUUAUAGAUCUGUUUGUGUAAGCAAAGCAACUGAAACACCAUUGAAAAAUACAGCAUGAGGGAACCUCAUGGAGAUGCAAUGUGAAAAUACACUCUCCGUCGAAGAGAAGAAGACUUACAGUCCCACAAACUCUGAAAAAGCUUUCAGUGUUCGCCAAGGUAAACUCUUCAUGAUUUCUUCUUUCUGUUAGCUAUUCUCAAGGGCAGC
rnacentral:misc_RNA from 1 species